GACGAACGCUGGCGGCGUGCCUAAUACAUGCAAGUAGAACGCUGAAGGAGGAGCUUGCUCUUCUGGAUGAGUUGCGAACGGGUGAGUAACGCGUAGGUAACCUGCCUGGUAGCGGGGGAUAACUAUUGGAAACGAUAGCUAAUACCGCAUAACAGUAGAUGUUGCAUGACAUUUACUUAAAAGGUGCAAUUGCAUCACUACCAGAUGGACCUGCGUUGUAUUAGCUAGUUGGUGGGGUAACGGCUCACCAAGGCGACGAUACAUAGCCGACCUGAGAGGGGGGACGGCCAAAACGGGAACGAGACACGGCCCAGACCUCUACGGGGGGCAGCAGUAGGGAAACUUCGGCAAUGGACGGAAGGCUUACCGAGCAACGCCGCGGGAGGGAAGAAGGGUUUCGGAUCGGAAAGCUCUGUUGUUAGGGAAGAAAGAGGGUGAGAGUGGAAAGUUCACACUGUGACGGUAACUUAACAGAAAGGGACGGCUAACUACGUG
rnacentral:rRNA from 1 species